rnacentral:rRNA from 2 species
AAACUUUCAACAACGGAUCUCUUGGUUCUGGCAUCGAUGAAGAACGCAGCGAAAUGCGAUAAGUAAUGUGAAUUGCAGAAUUCAGUGAAUCAUCGAAUCUUUGAACGCACAUUGCGCCCCCUGGUAUUCCGGGGGGCAUGCCUGUUCGAGCGUCAUUACAAC